rnacentral:tRNA from 1 species
GCCUGUGUGGCUCAGUCAGUUAAGCGUCUGACUUUGGCUCAGGUCACGAUAUCACGGUUUGUGGGUUCGAGCCCCACAUUGGGCU